GGGACGUAUAAAGAAGCAACGGUUGUAGAAUAGGUAAAAAGAGAAAGAGGUUGACAAAUUAACAUGACAUGUUGAUUGAGUUGAUUUGGACCUUUCAGAUGUAGGAAUGAACUGAAAAUAAUCUAUUAUUUUAGUAGGAAUUUUGCUUUCGAUAUAAGAGAAUUUACCUUCCAGCGUGUUAAGGAGGAAAGAAUGGAUUCAAGGCAAGCAAUGAAAGAAGAGAGAGCCGAGUCUACAGCUUGGGUGGCUAUAGAAGAACUCCAUAAAAUGAACAAAGAAGGCAACAUGAAGAAAUUGAGUUCGAGGACAAGCCUCAAUAUCAUUGUAAACAAAGAAAUUGAACCAAAGUACUGGAGUACUUGGAAGCGUAUUGAAGCCAGUCUAUGACAUGUAUGAUUAUGUCAAGGAAUCACUUGCCAGAAAAAAUAACCGGACUACCAAGAAGACUGAUCAGGGAAGUGCAAAAUAUAGCUGUCCAUGAAGAAUAAACAAACCGUGAAGUUACUUAUACAGCACCAUAGAGGGGACGAGAGGAUCUGAUGAUUAUGUUUGGUGUUAUUUUAGGUGUUUGUUAUUUGUCAUUUCACCAGACAUUAUAUGUCUUGUAAGUUCAAG
rnacentral:lncRNA from 1 species